CAAUACUGUCCAUGAAGUUCUCUUGGCAAGGAUACUAAAGUCUUUCACCAUUUCCUUCUCAAAGACAGAUCGAGUUGAUUUGCCCAGGGUUGCACAGCUACAAGAUCAGAAAAUUUUUCAAAAAAGAUGAGGAAAGAGAAAUCCUGACUCUUCAGUGAUUGCUGCAAGGAUGGGUAUUUGGGGAAAGGGCAUUUCUGCUGCAACUCCUCCUCCUCCUUUUACUUCCUCUGGAGCCAGUCCAGAAAAGACAGUAACCUUUGCAACCAGCAGCCCAGAAAAUCACCACCAGCCUGAAGCUGCCAGGUCCUGAGGUUAGUCUGAGCAAUAAAAAUCCAUUUAAGAGAAUAAUGGCAUUCUCUGAGCACAUUUAGUCCAAUGUGCCUUUGCCUUUGGUCCUUCUAGGAUUCCAAGGAGAGUGCUUUCCCCAGACCAGGAAAAAGAUGUAUUCAUGACAGUAUAUAUCGAAGCAUAGUUAUCUGAUACUAUUGGAGGCGAGGGGAGGCAGG